rnacentral:rRNA from 1 species
UACAGAGGUCUCAAGCGUUGUUCGGAUUCAUUGGGCGUAAAGGGUGUGUAGGUGGCGCCGUAAGUCGGGUGUGAAAUUUCGGAGCUUAACUCCGAAACUGCAUUCGAUACUGCGGUGCUUGAGGACUGGAGAGGAGACUGGAAUUCCUGGUGUAGCGGUGAAAUGCGCAGAUAUCAGGAGGAACACCGGUGGCGAAGGCGGGUCUCUGGGCCGAAACUGACGCUGAGGAGCGAAAGCGUGGGGAGCAAACAGG